rnacentral:tRNA from 1 species
CGCCCUAAUAGCUUAGUACUUAAAGCAUUGGCCUUGUAAACCAAAAACGGGGCCUAUGCCCCUUAGGACA